rnacentral:rRNA from 1 species
AGAGUUUGAUCAUGGCUCAGAUUGAACGCUGGCGGCAGGCCUAACACAUGCAAGUCGAACGGUAACAGGAAGCAGCUUGCUGCUUCGCUGACGAGUGGCGGACGGGUGAGUAAUGUCUGGGAAGCUGCCUGAUGGAGGGGGAUAACUACUGGAAACGGUAGCUAAUACCGCAUAAUGUCGCAAGACCAAAGAGGGGGACCUUCGGGCCUCUUGCCAUCGGAUGUGCCCAGAUGGGAUUAGCUUGUUGGUGGGGUAACGGCUCACCAAGGCGACGAUCCCUAGCUGGUCUGAGAGGAUGACCAGCCACACUGGAACUGAGACACGGUCCAGACUCCUACGGGAGGCAGCAGUGGGGAAUAUUGCACAAUGGGCGCAAGCCUGAUGCAGCCAUGCCGCGUGUAUGAAGAAGGCCUUCGGGUUGUAAAGUACUUUCAGCGGGGAGGAAGGGAGUAAAGUUAAUACCUUUGCUCAUUGACGUUACCCGCAGAAGAAGCACCGGCUAACUCCGUGCCAGCAGCCGCGGUAAUACGGAGGGUGCAAGCGUUAAUCGGAAUUACUGGGCGUAAAGCGCACGCAGGCGGUUUGUUAAGUCAGAUGUGAAAUCCCCGGGCUCAACCUGGGAACUGCAUCUGAUACUGGCAAGCUUGAGUCUCGUAGAGGGGGGUAGAAUUCCAGGUGUAGCGGUGAAAUGCGUAGAGAUCUGGAGGAAUACCGGUGGCGAAGGCGGCCCCCUGGACGAAGACUGACGCUCAGGUGCGAAAGCGUGGGGAGCAAACAGGAUUAGAUACCCUGGUAGUCCACGCCGUAAACGAUGUCGACUUGGAGGUUGUGCCCUUGAGGCGUGGCUUCCGGAGUUAACGCGUUAAGUCGACCGCCUGGGGAGUACGGCCGCAAGGUUAAAACUCAAAUGAAUUGACGGGGGCCCGCACAAGCGGUGGAGCAUGCGGUUUAAUUCGAUGCAACGCGAAGAACCUUACCUGGUCUUGACAUCCACGGAAGUUUUCAGAGAUGAGAAUGUGCCUUCGGGAACCGUGAGACAGGUGCUGCAUGGCUGUCGUCAGCUCGUGUUGUGAAAUGUUGGGUUAAGUCCCGCAACGAGCGCAACCCUUAUCCUUUGUUGCCAGCGGUCCGGCCGGGAACUCAAAGGAGACUGCCAGUGAUAAACUGGAGGAAGGUGGGGAUGACGUCAAGUCAUCAUGGCCCUUACGACCAGGGCUACACACGUGCUACAAUGGCGCAUACAAAGAGAAGCGACCUCGCGAGAGCAAGCGGACCUCAUAAAGUGCGUCGUAGUCCGGAUUGGAGUCUGCAACUCGACUCCAUGAAGUCGGAGUCGCUAGUAAUCGUGGAUCAGAAUGCCACGGUGAAUACGUUCCCGGGCCUUGUACACACCGCCCGUCACACCAUGGGAGUGGGUUGCAAAAGAAGUAGGUAGCUUAACCUUCGGGAGGGCGCUUACCACUUUGUGAUUCAUGACUGGGGUGAAGUCGGAACAAGGUAACCGUAGGGGAACCUGCGGUUG